rnacentral:misc_RNA from 1 species
CACGGAGGGUGCAAGCGUUGUCCGGAUUUAUUGGGUUUAAAGGGUGCGUAGGCGGUUAAAUAAGUCAGUGGUGAAAGUCUGUAGCUUAACUAUAGAAUUGCCAUUGAUACUGUUUGACUUGAGAAUAGUUGAGGUAGGCGGAAUUUAUGAUGUAGCGGUGAAAUGCAUAGAUAUCAUAAGGAACUCCGAUAGCGAAGGCAGCUUACUAAGCUAUAUCUGACGCUGAGGCACGAAAGCAUGAGUAGCAAACAGG